GCUUACGGCCAUACCACCUUAGGCACGCCCUGAUCUCGUCUGAUCUCGGAAGCUAAGCAGGGUCGGGCCUGGUUAGUACUUGGAUGGGUGACCGCCUGGGAAUACCAGGUGCUGUAAGCA
ensembl:rRNA 5S_rRNA 5S ribosomal RNA